rnacentral:rRNA from 1 species
GAUGAACGCUGGCGGCGUGCCUAAUACAUGCAAGUCGAGCGAACAGACGAGGAGCUUGCUCCUCUGACGUUAGCGGCGGACGGGUGAGUAACACGUGGAUAACCUACCUAUAAGACUGGGAUAACUUCGGGAAACCGGAGCUAAUACCGGAUAAUAUAUUGAACCGCAUGGUUCAAUAGUGAAAGACGGUUUUGCUGUCACUUAUAGAUGGAUCCGCGCCGCAUUAGCUAGUUGGUAAGGUAACGGCUUACCAAGGCGACGAUGCGUAGCCGACCUGAGAGGGUGAUCGGCCACACUGGAACUGAGACACGGUCCAGACUCCUACGGGAGGCAGCAGUAGGGAAUCUUCCGCAAUGGGCGAAAGCUUGACGGAGCAACGCCGCGUGAGUGAUGAAGGUCUUCGGAUCGUAAAACUCUGUUAUUAGGGAAGAACAAAUGUGUAAGUAGCUAUGCACGUCUUGACGGUACCUAAUCAGAAAGCCACGGCUAACUACGUG